CAUCUGAUGUGCAAGUAUAUAAUACUCUUUUGUAUAACAAUGUUGCAUAUUUAAUUGUUAAGUUUCAUUUGCAUGCCAUUACAUCUGCAGUUGUUAUGGUAUUGUGUUGUGUUUGGUGUUUAUGCUGAAGGUUCAGUGUGGUACAGAAUCUCAAAUGGCAUCCACAUCAGGAGAACAUACUACAAGUUACAAUAUGUAUACCAAUAUCUAUGCACCUGUCAUUAUUGACAGCAGUUCUUCAGAUGCUGAGGGAGAGGAGUUGCAAAAGGAAAACUGUGAUGAACCUGAUGGAUUGACGGCUGCAGAUGUCAUCUCAAAUCUGGCUCUGAAGAU